GACGAACGCUGGCGGCGUGCUUAACACAUGCAAGUCGAACGGAAAGGCCUUUUCGGCGGUACUCGAGUGGCGAACGGGUGAGUAACACGUGGGUGAUCUGCCCUGCACUCUGGGAUAAGCCUGGGAAACUGGGUCUAAUACCGGAUAGGACCGCACUUUAGUGUGUGUGGUGGAAAGUUUUUUCGGUGUAGGAUGAGCCCGCGGCCUAUCAGCUUGUUGGUGGGGUAAUGGCCUACCAAGGCGGCGACGGGUAGCCGGACUGAGAGGUUGGUCGGCCACAUUGGGACUGAGAUACGGCCCAGACUCCUACGGGAGGCAGCAGUGGGGAAUAUUGCACAAUGGGCGCAAGCCUGAUGCAGCGGCGCCGCGUGGGGGAUGACGGCCUUCGGGUUGUAAACUCCUUUCGCCAGGGACGAAGCGUUUUGUGACGGUACCUGGAGAAGAAGCACCGGCUAACUACGUG
rnacentral:rRNA from 1 species